rnacentral:rRNA from 1 species
GGCGGCGUGCUUAACACAUGCAAAGUCGAACGAUGAUGCCCCAGCUUGCUGGGUGGAUUAGUGGCGAACGGGGUGAGUAACACGUGAGUAACCUGCCCCCUGACUCUGGGAUAAGCGUUGGAAAACGACGUCUAAUACUGGAUACGACUGCCGGCCGCAUGGUCUGGUGGUGGAAAGAUUUUUUGGUUGGGGAUGGACUCGCGGCCUAUCAGCUUGUUGGUGAGGUAAUGGCUCACCAAGGCGACGACGGGUAGCCGGCCUGAGAGGGUGACCGGCCACACUGGGACUGAGACACGGCCCAGACUCCUACGGGAGGCAGCAGUGGGGAAUAUUGCACAAUGGGCGAAAGCCUGAUGCAGCAACGCCGCGUGAGGGAUGACGGCCUUCGGGUUGUAAACCUCUUUUAGUAGGGAAGAAGCGAAAGUGACGGUACCUGCAGAAAAAGCACCGGCUAACUACGUGCCAGCAGCCGCGGUAAUACGUAGGGUGCAAGCGUUGUCCGGAAUUAUUGGGCGUAAAGAGCUCGUAGGCGGUUUGUCGCGUCUGCUGUGAAAUCCCGAGGCUCAACCUCGGGCUUGCAGUGGGUACGGGCAGACUAGAGUGCGGUAGGGGAGAUUGGAAUUCCUGGUGUAGCGGUGGAAUGCGCAGAUAUCAGGAGGAACACCGAUGGCGAAGGCAGAUCUUUGGGCCGUAACUGACGCUGAGGAGCGAAA